AUGGAGGAGAGGCUGAAACUAAGCCGCGACAGCACGACGGAGGAAGUGGAUGCUACGCAGUACCGACGCCUUGUGGGGAGCCUUCGCUACCUCACUCACACACGGCCGGACUUGGCAUUCUCCGUCGGCUAUGUCAGUCGGUUCAUGGAGCGACCAACGUCGGAACACCAGCAGGCAGUGAAGAGGAUCGUCCGCUACAUAGCAGGGACCCUCGACCACGGCCUCCACUACCCUAGGUGUCCUGGGGCGGCACACUUCGUCGGGUACAGCGACAGCGACCACGCCGGCGACAUCGACACCAGCAAGAGCACGAGCGGGAUCCUCCUCUUCCUCGGCAAGUGUCUCGUGAGCUGGCAAUCAGUCAAGCAGCAGGUGGUGGCCCUGUCCAGCUGUGAGGCUGAGUACAUAGCGGCCUCCACCGCCUGUACUCAGGCGCUCUGGCUUGCUCGACUACUUGGUGAUCUUCUCGUUCAAGACACCAGAACGGUGCAGCUCCUGGUGGACAGCAAGUCCGCCCUGGCCCUGGCAAAGAACCCCGUGUUCCACGAACGGAGCAAGCACAUCCGACUGAGGUAUCACUUCAUCCGCAGCUGUGUGGAAGAAGGGAGCAUCGAGGCGAGCUACAUCAACACCAAGGAUCAGCUCGCAGACCUGCUCACCAAGCCCCUUGGGAGGGUCAAGUUCCUCGAACUUUGCUCCAGGAUUGGGAUGAUUCAACUCUCCCACAAGACGACGUACAAGACUUAG
rnacentral:rRNA from 1 species